CAGCAGCCGCGGUAAUACGUAGGGUGCAAGCGUUAAUCGGAAUUACUGGGCGUAAAGCGUGCGCGGGCGGUUUGUUAAGACAGAUGUGAAAUCCCCGGGCUCAACCUGGGAACUGCAUUUGUGACUGGCAAGCUAGAGUGUGGCAGAGGGGGGUGGAAUUCCGCGUGUAGCAGUGAAAUGCGUAGAUAUGCGGAGGAACACCGAUGGCGAAGGCAGCCCCCUGGGCCAACACUGACGCUCAUGCACGAAAGCGUGGGGAGCAAACAGGAUUAGAUACCCCCGUAGUCCCUGUCUCUUAUAC
rnacentral:rRNA from 1 species